rnacentral:rRNA from 1 species
AUUGAACGCUGGCGGCAUGCCUUACACAUGCAAGUCGAACGGCAGCACGGGAGCAAUCCUGGUGGCGAGUGGCGAACGGGUGAGUAAUAUAUCGGAACGUGCCCGAUCGUGGGGGAUAACACUUCGAAAGAAGUGCUAAUACCGCAUACGAUCUGAGGAUGAAAGCGGGGGACCGUAAGGCCUCGCGCGAUCGGAGCGGCCGAUGUCAGAUUAGGGAGUUGGUGGGGUAAAGGCUCACCAAGCCGACGAUCUGUAUCUGGUCUGAGAGGACGAGCAGCCGAACUGGUACUGAGACACGGCCCAGAGUCCUACGGGAGGCAGCAGUGGGGAAUUUUGGACAAUGGGCGCAAGCCUGAUUCAGCAAUGCCGCGUGCAGGAAGAAGGCCUUCGGGUUGUUAACUGCUUUUGUACGGAGCGAAAAGGCUCUCUCUAAUACAGGGGGCUCAUGACGGUACCGUAAGAAUAAGCACCGGCUAACUACGUGCCAGCCGCCGCCGUAAUAC